rnacentral:rRNA from 1 species
UACGUAGGGUCCGAGCGUUGUCCGGAGUUACUGGGCGUAAAGCGCGCGCAGGCGGCGGUGUUGGCCCGGCGUGAAAGCCCCCGGCUCAACCGGGGAGGGUCAUUCGAUACUGAUCGACUGGAAGGCAGGAGAGGGAAGCGGAAUUCCCGGUGUAGUGGUGAAAUGCGUAGAUAUCGGGAGGAACACCAGUGGCGAAGGCGGCUUCCUGGCCUGUUCUUGACGCUGAGGCGCGAAAGCUAGGGGAGCAAACGGG